GACGUUGCAGUAACAGUUCACCAGAGGUUAGCAUUUCUUCCUUCUUGACUUUCCAUGCAGAACAUGGAGAAGAAGAAGAAGAAGAAGAAGAAGAAGAAGAAGAAGAAGAAGAAGAAGAAGAAGAAGAAGAAAUACAGACAGUCGUUGAAAGUUAAACUGUUCCUUGUGACAUGGUCUAAUUACUACAGCCCACUAGGCUCAAGGGUAUUGUCUUGCUACAGAUGCACCGUAGUAUAUUUUUCAAAAAAUAUAUAUAUUGAAGCUUUCCAAGUGUUUUUCAAGUAGCAAAGUGUAAAGAGAGAGACCACUGGCAAUUUUGUGUUCUUAUUAGUCUUCGCGGAAGACAGCAAACAAGGACUCUUAUCCAGAAAUUACUCUGGUGUGUGUGUGUUUCUUGAAAAGAAAAUGUAGAAUUCAAACUGUUCUUCACAGAAUGAGUUUGAUAAAAUGAAUACUUAGAUAUUAUUGUUUAUUUUAUUUAAAUCCCUUCUUUCCUCCAAAGAAGUCAAGAUGGCAUGCACAGUUCUCUCCAUUCCCCAUUUUAUCCUCAAAACAACCGUAUGAGGUAGGUUAGGCUAAGAGCUGGUGACAGGGUUGUUGUGAAGAUGAAAGGAGGAGACCUAUGUAUGCCACACUGAGCUUCUUAGAUGAAAUGUGGGAUAUAAUCAAACAAACAAACAAACAAACAUUUUCUUUAUUCCAUUUUUAAUUGCAGUCUUCCUAUGAGCUACGGAGAUUGUACCAAGGAAAAUUGUCUGGCAGAAUCCUAUGCACACCUACUCAGACUGAGGUUCCACCAGGUUCCAUAGGUUUGUCUUCCAGGUAAGUGUGGGCAUAAGAUUGCACCUCUAGUAAACUUACAUUGCAUGGAAAAAUGGAGGCGGACUGGAGUCUCUGAGGUAAUACUCAUCUAGAUGACUUCAACUAACCAUUUCCCUCUGGAAACAUUAUUUGAGUUUCACUUGGUGAACAUCUCUUUUCCCACAUGACCUGCUGAGGUUUGAGACUUAUUACAGUGUGGCUACUGAAUGUUAGGUUUUGAUGCAUUUCUGCCAUAUGUCUGGAUGUAUUCAGGAGGAAUAUUAGUCAUGCAAAAAUGACCAGCAAAUGUCACAUCACAGACAGCUUGACAUGUCACCACUUAAUAAGAGCAUUUAAAUUAUAUAAUUCAGUGGUAAUAUUAUGUUCCUGAGAGGAUUUCCAUCCUCUUUUCCCUGUUCAGUUGGGCAAGGGCUCAUCUGUUCUCUGUGAUUCUUUGUCUCCAAAGACUGCUUUGGAUUUCUACAAGGGAGUCCCAAUUCCUCUGAACAGAGGGAUAAUGUGCUAGCUUUAAGAGCAAAACACACCAGAUGGGGAAGAUGGAAUACCAAUCUCAAGAGGACUCUUCCCCCCUCCUUUUUUUUUAAGGCAUGGAAGCUUAAAAUAAAAUACAGGGGUAUAAGUCUAGUGGGAAAGAGAGAAGGGUGACAGAGGUUUCUUGGAGAUUGCUAAACAAAACAGGUGGAUUUAGGGAUUUUAAUGAAGUGAGGGGAAGAGGGAAGAGUUGUCAGAGGAAAUGUCAAAGCAAGAGCUGGAGCAAUAACAUUUGUAGUCCAUUUAAGAUUAAGGCUGCACAGAUAAUAUUCUUCAGGGAUUUGCUAUUUGCAUGAGUACAGAUGUGGGAGAAAUCUGAGUCAGUUCCCAUUUAAAGGUGAACAUACCAAAUUUCCAAAACCAAAACACCAAAACACAAGUAACCUUUGGAAUUUCCAGUUAUCCAAAUUUUGUAUUUUUCUCCAAACCAUGUUUACAAAAAUGGAUUGUGGGAAAGUGAGCAUAAAAAUGAACGUGUCAGUGAAAAGAACAUACAAAAAUGCACUGUAGCUGCAUACAAAAAUAUGUUUUUUGAGCGGAAUUCAUGUUAAUAUGCUGAUAAAUUUUCAUGUGGCUUUUAAAAAUGAAUAAAUUGCAAAUUAAUGAAGAAAUUUGGCUAACUGGAUUUAAGGCUCCUUUUCUCAGUUUCUCAUUUUUGCCAAACUUGACAGAUCUUUUCACCCAUACUGCCUAGUAUGUAUGUUUAGGAAUGCAGACAAAGAGGGCUGGCCUGAGGUAAAUGUUAUGGUGAUGCUUCCAAGUACAGAAAACUACUGGACUGGUAGUUGAAUCUUAUUUCAACUUGCUCACAGAAUAGCAUCAUCCAUUGCACCUCAGUGAAUCAGGCUAGCUUAGAGGAUGCAACACAGGCUAUGUGGAAUACAUAGUCCUGUCCCCCAGUAUACUCACAGUGGUAGGGGGCUUCUCUCAGUGCCAAGAGAUUGCCACCACAGACUCUGAACUAGGGAUAGAGAAGAAAUUUGAUUCAAUUUGCAUUUAAAUGUGAAUCUACCUAAUUACAAUAUGCAAGCUGAAACACAGGCAACCAUUGAAAUUUGCUUCUCCAAAUUUUUCAGUGCAGUUCUGUAGCAAUCUAAUGUGUACAAAAUUGCAUAUAUUAGGGUAAUGUGUGCAUAAACAUGUAGAGAUGGAUGAAAAAAUACAGAAAUGUAUCAUAUUAAGGAAAAUCUGAUUGCAAAAGUUUUUUAAUUAGAAAAAGAAUGCAUGCAAAGGUAGCGCUUUGCACUAACAGGCUACUGAAUUUUCAGGAGCAAACGGAUGUAGAAAUGUGGAGAACUGAAUUUAAGAUUGGGAAAAUGAGAAACCGGGGGAAACCAAAUUUGAAAGAUUGGUCAAUUUUUACCCUCACAAACUGCUGCCUAUAGUAAUACCAUCACUCUUGCUAAUGGCAGGACCAAUGCUAGAGCCAAUGGAUAUAAUUCUGUUUAUACUAACCCAGGUGAAAGUGAUAUGGAGGUCAGUUGGACUUAACAUUUGAGUAAAAAUGUGAAGGGCUGACUACAGUGGUACCUCUGGUUACGUACUUAAUUCGUUCCGGAGGUCCGUUCUUAACCUGAAACUGUUCUUAACCUGAAGCACCACUUUAGCUAAUAGGGCCUCCCGCUGCCGCUGUGCCGCUGCUGUGCCGCCGCCAUGCGAUUUCUGUUCUCAUCCUGAAGCAAAGUUCUUAACCCGAGGUACUAUUUCUGUGUUAGCGGAGUCUGUAACCUGAAGCGUAUGUAACCUGAAGCGUCUGUAACCCGAGGUACCACUGUAUUAAGAUUGCAAUCCUAGUAACAGUUUAACUCAGGAGUGUUGAUGAACUUUGUGGGAUAUACUUGUUUUAGUUAAUAUGCUUAGGACCAUUCCUUUAAAAUAGAAUUUCUAUAUGUUCAUUUAAAAAUUCAGAACAGUUUGGAAACUUUACAACAUACAUGAAACUGACAAUAAAACAAUACAGAACUGCCACACUAAAAUCAUGCAAUGAAACAGCAGCAUUACCUUAACAAAAAAUAAAUGCAGCAAACAGCAUAAAGCACGGGAGACAGCAAAUAGCCUCAAUAGUUCUCAAUUAAUUGUAACAGGUGUCUGAAAUAUAUACAGUAAGCCCAGAAUUUGUGUGCAUUCAGCUUUAUGUAUGUGACAAAUGUUUUUUUAAAAAAAUGAAAGGGGGGUGGAAUGACUUUGGCAAUCCCACCUACUAUUGAACCCAAUGUGUUUUGAUUAUACAUGAUCUUGCCUUUAGGCAUGAACCUGCACGUAAGUUGUGGGCUUACUGUAUUUAAAGGUUUUAUAUAUGCAUUGGGAAGACAGCAGGUUGAUGCUAAAUGAGCCUCUGCUCUGGAGAGAAAUAGAGAUUAUCAGAGCAUCCAGUGAGAAAACUUUGCUCUAAGUGGAAGCUCAUGCUGGAAUCCUGGGGGUUGCACUGUGUGGCUGCAAUUUUGUGCACACUUUCUAGAAGUGAGCCAGAUCAGGCCUCUCAUGUAAUUUCAUUAUAAUAAAUUAGACUGAGAUGUGACUCUUAUAGUUGGUGUAGAAUUCAUGAAUUCAUGAUCUAUUGGGGUGAAAGACCAAGCUUAGUCUUCCUUCAACUAGCCCCCACCUGCCUGCUUUCUUACCUACAGCUAAUCAGGGGGCGGCUCUACCUGUUAUUGUUAUGGUUCAACAACUGUUUAUCUCCCUGUCUUCCACCCUACUGGUCUCAAUGGGUACCAGCUACCAUUGGAGUCGUGCAGUAGUCUAUCAGGUCUCUGCUUGCAUGGAGGAAUGUGGUGUAACCAGUGUGUGUGUUGGCACCAUGGGCACUACUUGUAAGCAGAAGUGGCUGAAUAAAACAGAAUAAGCCCAGAAAGUAAAGGGCUUGACCUAGGAACAUAGGAAGAUUGGUCUGUCUAACUCAGUAUUGUCCAUAGAGUCAGGCAGUAGCUGCCCAGGACUUCAGACAUGGGACAUUCCAAGUCCUACCAGGAGAUGCUGCGGAUUAACCUGGGAUCUUACUUAUUUUAUUGAAUUUAUAUACCACCCUAUACAUGGAGGUGUCAGGGUAGUUCACAGAACAAAAUAAAAAUAUAAAACCACAAAAUAUAUAAUCAAAAUAAACACCCCCC